GACAGAGGGUGCAAACGUUGUUCGGAAUUACUGGGCGUAAAGCGUGUGUAGGCGGUCCACUAAGUCGGGUGUGAAAUCCCUGGGCUCAACCCAGGAAGUGCACUCGAAACUGGCGGGCUAGAGUAUCGGAGAGGUUGGUGGAAUUCUCGGUGUAGAGGUGAAAUUCGUAGAUAUCGAGAGGAACACCGGUGGCGAAGGCGGCCAACUGGACGAAUACUGACGCUGAGACACGAAAGCGUGGGGAGCAAACAGG
rnacentral:rRNA from 1 species